UGGGGAAUCUUGCACAAUGGGGGCAACCCUGAUGCAGCGACGCCGCGUGAGCGAUGAAGCCCUUCGGGGCGUAAAGCUCUUUCGACCGGAACGAUAAUGACGGUACCGGGAGAAGAAGCUGCGGCUAACUACGUGCCAGCAGCCGCGGUAAUACGUAGGCAGCAAGCGUUGUUCGGAGUUACUGGGCGUAAAGAGUGCGUAGGCGGUUUUCUAAGUUCGGUGUGAAAUCUCCCGGCUAAACUGGGAGGGUGCGCCGAAGACUGGGAAGCUGGAGUGUGGGAAAGGCAGGCGGAAUUCCUGGUGUAGCGGUGAAAUGCGUAGAUAUCAGGAGGAACACCGGCGGUGUAGACGGCUUGCUAGACCAUAACUGACGCUGAGGCACGAAAGCGUGGGUAGCAAACA
rnacentral:rRNA from 1 species